GUUUCCUUUCCUAUACGGUACAUCAUCGAUUAUAUUGUUGUUUUGGUGUAGUGCUAUGCGUAUGUAUAAUGCUGAAAAGAAAAAGCAAGGCCGGAGUUCAGUCCAAUGGAAAAAUUUGGCUGGCAUUCCUCCCCAACCUAGCAACAAGGAGUGUGGAUACUUUAUCAUGCGAUACAUGAGAGAUAUCAUUGAGGAUAAAGACAUGUCAUUGUUUCCUACGAAGUGGGAGAGGAGAGGCAGCA